ACGGAAGGCAGCAGUAGGGAAUCUUCCACAAUGGGCGAAAGCCUGAUGGAGCAACGCCGCGUGUGUGAUGAAGGGUUUCGGCUCGUAAAACACUGUUGUAAGAGAAGAAUGACAUUGAGAGUAACUGUUCAAUGAGUGACGGUAUCUUACCAGAAAGGAACGGCUAAGUACGUGCCAGCAGCCGCGGUAAUACGUAUGUUCCAAGCGUUAUCCGGAUUUAUUGGGCGUAAAGCAAGCGCAGACGGUUAUUUAAGUCUGAAGUGAAAGCCCUCAGCUCAACUGAGGAAUUGCUUUGGAAACUGGAUGACUUGAGUGCAGUAGAGGUAAGUGGAACUCCAUGUGUAGCGGUGAAAUGCGUAGAUAUAUGGAAGAACACCAGUGGCGAAGGCGGCCUUCUGGACUGUAACUGACGUUGAGGCUCGAAAGUGUGGGUAGCAAACAGGAUUAGAUACCCUGGUA
rnacentral:rRNA from 1 species